GACGAUUAGAUACCGUCGUAGUCCCAACUAUAAACGAUACCAACCGAGUAUUUGGGAAGACACUAUCCCAGCGAUCUUCUCAGAACUCAAGGGAAACCUUAAGUCUUUGGGUUCUGGGGGGAGUAUAGUCGCAAGACCGAAACUUAAAGAAUUGAGGAAGGCACCACCAGAGUGGAGUCUGCGGCUUAAUUCGACUCAACACGGGGAAACUCACCAGUCAGACAAGUUGAUGAAGUUAAUGCCCUUUCUUGAUUGUGUGGUGGGUAGUGCAUGGCCGUUUCCGUUCCGUGUAAUCCUGGCUCCUCCUUAUUGACUCACA
rnacentral:rRNA from 1 species